rnacentral:rRNA from 1 species
UACGGAGGGGGCUAGCGUUGUUCGGAAUUACUGGGCGUAAAGCGCACGUAGGCGGCUUUGUAAGUUAGAGGUGAAAGCCCAGGGCUUAACCCUGGAAUUGCCUUUAAGACUGCAUCGCUAGAAUCGUGGAGAGGUGAGUGGAAUUCCGAGUGUAGAGGUGAAAUUCGUAGAUAUUCGGAAGAACACCAGUGGCGAAGGCGACUCACUGGACACGUAUUGACGCUGAGGUGCGAAAGCGUGGGGAGCAAACAGGG